GCUCUCGGGGGAAACCGGUGACCUCCUUGGCGACCCAGCACAUGACGUCCAGCGGGUUUGACACCAUGAUGAUCGUCGCGGCCGGCGCGUGCUGCUUGAUCUGCUGGCUGACCGCCUUGACGAUCUCGACGUUGGUGCGCACCAGAUCGUCACGGCUCAUGCCGGGUUUUCGCGCUAUUCCCGCGGUCACGAUGAACAGGUCGCUGCCCGCGGUGGCGGCGUAGUCGUUGGUCCCCAGUAU
rnacentral:misc_RNA from 1 species